GAAGCAUAUAGAGGAAGGUUGCCAACACCUCGGCGCCUGAGUGUUUUUGCCUCCGUGGUGUGAAUCCUACCUGAUCUAUUCCAGUCCUCCGUAGUGGCUAAGGCUACUUCCUGAUCUAGUCUGUGCAUGGCAAGCUGAACUCCUUUCCUGACCUUUAUUCUCUCCCUGGCGGGUUAUUCUGGAAUCUCCAUAAUGAAGAUUAGACUCGUCGCUCCUGUUGUUCCUGAUCAAUCUUUCAAUAAAAACUUAUUCCUUUUACAAAGUUCUCUGAGAGUCUCUGCAUGUGGGUUAAGUCGGCUGUAAAAAUCAUGACAA